UCCGUGGCUACGAGGACGACGCUGGCGGCGUGCCUAAUACAUGCAAGUCGAACGCACCCUUCGGGGUGAGUGGCGCACGGCUGAGUAACACGUGGGAAUCUGUCUUCUAGUGGGGGAUAACGUCUCGAAAGAGACGCUAAUCCCGCAUACGCUCCGCAAGGAGGAAAGGCGCAAGUCGCUAGAAGAGGAGCCUGCGGCCCAUCAGGUAGUUGGAGAGGUAAUGGCUCACCAAGCCUAUGACGGGUAGCUGGUCUGUGAGGACAACCAGCCAGACUGGGACUGAGAACGGCCCAGACUCCUACGGGAGGCAGCAGUAAGGAAUUUUCGUCAAUGGGGGAAACCCUGAACGAGCAACGCCGCGUGGAGGAUGACGGUCUUCGGAUUGUAAACUCCUUUUGUGAGGGACGAUAAUGACGGUACCUCGCGAAUAAGCCCCGGCUAACUCUGUG
rnacentral:rRNA from 1 species